UACGGAGGGGGCUAGCGUUGUUCGGAAUUACUGGGCGUAAAGCGCACGUAGGCGGAAUUGUAAGUCAGGGGUGAAAUCCCGGGGCUCAACCUCGGAAUUGCCUUCGAUACUGUUAGUCUUGAGUCCGGGAGAGGUGAGUGGAAUUCCUAGUGUAGAGGUGAAAUGCGUAGAUAUUAGGAAGAACACCAGUGGCGAAGGCGGCUCACUGGCCCGGUACUGACGCUCAUGUGCGAAAGCGUGGGGAGCAAACAGG
rnacentral:rRNA from 1 species